AUUGAACGCUGGCGGCAUGCCUUACACAUGCAAGUCGAACGGCAGCACGGGUGCUUGCACCUGGUGGCGAGUGGCGAACGGGUGAGUAAUACAUCGGAACAUGUCCUGUAGUGGGGGAUAGCCCGGCGAAAGCCGGAUUAAUACCGCAUACGAUCUACGGAUGAAAGCGGGGGACCUUCGGGCCUCGCGCUAUAGGGUUGGCCGGUGGCUGAUUAGCUAGUUGGUGGGGUAAAGGCCUACCAAGGCGACGAUAAGCAGCUGGUCUGAGAGGACGACCAGCCACACUGGGACUGAGACACGGCCCAGACUCCUACGGGAGGCAGCAGUGGGGAAUUUUGGACAAUGGGCGAAAGCCUGAUCCAGCAAUGCCGCGUGUGUGAAGAAGGCCUUCGGGUUGUAAAGCACUUUUGUCCGGAAAGAAAUCCUUGGCCCUAAUACGGUCGGGGGAUGACGGUACCGGAAGAGUAAGCACCGGCUAACUACGUG
rnacentral:rRNA from 1 species